rnacentral:rRNA from 1 species
GUGGGUAACCUGCCCAUCAGAAGGGGAUAACACUUGGAAACAGGUGCUAAUACCGUAUAACAAUCGAAACCGCAUGGUUUCGGUUUGAAAGGCGCUUUUGCGUCACUGAUGGAUGGACCCGCGGUGCAUUAGCUAGUUGGUGAGGUAACGGCUCACCAAGGCAACGAUGCAUAGCCGACCUGAGAGGGUGAUCGGCCACAUUGGGACUGAGACACGGCCCAAACUCCUACGGGAGGCAGCAGUAGGGAAUCUUCGGCAAUGGACGCAAGUCUGACCGAGCAACGCCGCGUGAGUGAAGAAGGUUUUCGGAUCGUAAAACUCUGUUGUUAGAGAAGAACAAGGAUGAGAGUAGAAUGUUCAUCCCUUGACGGUAUCUAACCAGAAAGCCACGGCUAACUACGUGCCAGCAGCCGCGGUAAUACGUAGGUGGCAAGCGUUGUCCGGAUUUAUUGGGCGUAAAGCGAGCGCAGGCGGUUUCUUAAGUCUGAUGUGAAAGCCCCCGGCUCAACCGGGGAGGGUCAUUGGAAACUGGGAAACUUGAGUGCAGAAGAGGAGAGUGGAAUUCCAUGUGUAGCGGUGAAAUGCGUAGAUAUAUGGAGGAACACCAGUGGCGAAGGCGGCUCUCUGGUCUGUAACUGACGCUGAGGCUCGAAAGCGUGGGGAGCAAACAGGAUUAGAUACCCUGGUAGUCCACGCCGUAAACGAUGAGUGCUAAGUGUUGGAGGGUUUCCGCCCUUCAGUGCUGCAGCUAACGCAUUAAGCACUCCGCCUGGGGAGUACGACCGCAAGGUUGAAACUCAAAGGAAUUGACGGGGGCCCGCACAAGCGGUGGAGCAUGUGGUUUAAUUCGAAGCAACGCGAAGAACCUUACCAGGUCUUGACAUCCUUUGACCACUCUAGAGAUAGAGCUUCCCCUUCGGGGGCAAAGUGACAGGUGGUGCAUGGUUGUCGUCAGCUCGUGUCGUGAGAUGUUGGGUUAAGUCCCGCAACGAGCGCAACCCUUAUUGUUAGUUGCCAUCAUUUAGUUGGGCACUCUAGCGAGACUGCCGGUGACAAACCGGAGGAAGGUGGGGAUGACGUCAAAUCAUCAUGCCCCUUAUGACCUGGGCUACACACGUGCUACAAUGGGAAGUACAACGAGUCGCGAAGUCGCGAGGCUAAGCUAAUCUCUUAAAGCUUCUCUCAGUUCGGAUUGUAGGCUGCAACUCGCCUACAUGAAGCCGGAAUCGCUAGUAAUCGCGGAUCAGCACGCCGCGGUGAAUACGUUCCCGGGCC